rnacentral:rRNA from 1 species
GCUAUGUAUGGACGGGAUAAGUGCUGAAAGCAUCUAAGCAUGAAGCCCCCCUCAAGAUGAGAUUUCCCAACUUCGGUUAUAAGAUCCCUCGAAGAUGACGAGGUUAAUAGGUUCGAGGUGGAAGCGUGGUGACACGUGGAGCUGACGAAUACUAAUCGAUCGAAGACUUAAUCAAUUUUUAAA